UGCCUUUAUUUGGACAGAUUCAUGGAGGUGAAGAAGAUAUGGUGGUGGGUCAGUGUUUUAUAACUUUGUAGUUUUAUUUUUGUAAAGUUAUUAUGUUAUACAUCACAUAUUUUUGAUUGAAGCCGCUGAUUGUUUUAUUUGAAAUUGCUCACUAAGUUUAUUGCCUUUUCUAGUAUUGAUAUGGCAAAUAUUUUGAUUUUGAGUGGGUGAUUGGAAGUUUGCCGUUCUGUAAUUUAUGUUGAAAAUGUGAGGUGAUUGGAAUAUAUAUAUUUUUAGUGGUGUGUGUUUUACAGAUGAGGGAAAUGGACUUCAUUACCGUAAAUAUAAUAAGUCUUUCUUUAAGCGAAGGAGAUGUAAAUAUGGUAAAUAGAUAUUCUGAUACUUUGGCAAAAAGAAUAAAUAUAUAUUCUCAUAAUUAUACUGAUCUGGUCCACUCUUUUGGUACGUAAUAUUUGUCGUAUAUUGCGCACGUCAAAGGUGUAUGAAUAUUGUAAGUUUGACUAAGGAUUUUGACAUUAAUAUCUCUAGCAAGGAACACGAUUUGAGUAGUAACCAUUCCAGGCUACUUAUAAAUAGCAAACACUCGGAAGUGGAGCCAUUUAUAAUUGUUAAUACCAAGUGAUCGCUUUAAAAGAUGAUAAUCAUUACGUAAUCCAAAAAAAGUCUUAACCAAUAUGUAAAUUGUUUGCAGGGGAAAAGGAAAACCAAACACUGAAAUAGUGAGUAAAAGGGUAGCUAAGUCUUGCUCAAAAGAAAAAGGGAAACUGAAACAGCAACGAAGACCUCUGAGAUAAGUGGUGGAAGCUCUAAUUGUCAUGUUUUGGACGAUUUGCUUUCUUUGGUUCUUCACUGUGACAUGUACUUUUAUUCUCCUCGCCUGCACGAUCUCCAUCUGCUUCGGACGUU
rnacentral:lncRNA from 1 species